CCCGGGUUGUACCUCGGGCCGUCUCUCUUCCCUCACACCUCAGCCCGAACUCGACGCACCCCGGCCCCCCCACACCUCAGUGUAACUGUGGUCUAAACUGAGGCUAUGGAGGCAACAAUGAUGGACACAGAACGUAUGGUGCUCCCACUGAUGGGCGAUGCCAAAACAGGCUGUAGCAAUAGCAGAAAUGGCUCUCAUCUGCUGCAAGGAAAAGGUUCCCUUCAGGGAAUCCUCUGCAAUGAUAACCAGAUGGAUGAAAAUAAACGCAUAGGCAUGUGGAAUUCCUGACAUCAGCUGAAUUUAAACUGACAGAUUUCCUUCUCGUUUGUUCUUGUUCGAAACAGUAGUCCUUAUUAGCACUUUUGGGAAGGUACUCAGUAAAUACAGAAGACUGAAAAAGUAUUGUUUACUUUGGCUUUAAUUACAAUAAAUACAGAAAUAAAUAAGUAAAUAUAUUAAAAAGUCUGGUCCUGUAAAUAGGUUGUAAAUAGGGCAGGGUUAUAAUCUGAAAGAAAGAACAACUUUUUCCCAGGAUACAUAGUAAAAUAAAACAUCCAUUCUUCUGUUUAUCUUUUCUUAGCAAUAAUCUAUCAUCACUCAUGGAAUGCACUUACCUAUCAAAAGCGUAAAUGGAUUAAGCCAACAAAUACUUCCCAGAACUCCAAACUAAAUAAAAGACUCAGAAAACAUUGGGAGGCAGCACCAACUACCACCAACACCGACCAGUUCAGGAAUUUUCUGCCAAACAGCAUACAACUUGCUCAGCAAUAAAUCCACUUGCCCUUAUUACCAAUAUCCUAUCCUGUUUUACUUCCAAGGAAAAAAAAAAAGAAGAAGAAGAAGAAGAAGAAGAAACAAACAAACACAAUACAUCCCAAACCCACAGAGCAAGGACAUGGACAAUGUUUUUUUUGUUUGUUUGUUUGUUUGUUUGUUUUAUCUCACUGUUAAAACAAAUAAAACUAAAAAUCAGAACCCAAGAAAAUGUUUGCAGACUUUUGUCAGUUCUAGAGUCAUUUACAGACCAUCAUCAAUGCAGG
ensembl:lncRNA